CCUACGGGAGGCAGCAGUAAGGAAUAUUGGUCAAUGGACGCAAGUCUGAACCAGCCAUGCCGCGUGAAGGAUUAAGGCCCUCUGGGUUGUAAACUUCUUUUAUAGGGGACGAAAAAAGGGCAUUCUUGCUCACUUGACGGUACCCUAGGAAUAAGCACCGGCUAACUCCGUGCCAGCAGCCGCGGUAAUACGGAGGGUGCAAGCGUUAUCCGGAUUUACUGGGUUUAAAGGGUGCGUAGGUGGGUUGGUAAGUCAGUGGUGAAAUCUUCGAGCUUAACUCGGAAACUGCCAUUGAUACUAUCAAUCUUGAAUCAUCUAGAGGUAAGCGGAAUAUGUCAUGUAGCGGUGAAAUGCUUAGAUAUGACAUAGAACACCAAUUGCGAAGGCAGCUUACUAUGGAUGUAUUGACACUGAGGCACGAAAGCGUGGGGAUCAAACAGGAUUAGAUACCCUGGUAGUCCACGCCCUAAACGAUGGAUACUCGACAUUUGUGAUAUACUAUAAGUGUCUGAGCGAAAGCAUUAAGUAUCCCACCUGGGAAGUACGACCGCAAGGUUGAAACUUAAAGGAAAUUGACGG
rnacentral:rRNA from 1 species